AUGGUGCGAUCUAUGAUGUCUCUUACCGAUUUACCACUAUCGUUUUGGGGUUAUGCUUUAGAGACGGCUGCAUUCACGUUAAAUAGGGCACCAUCUAAAUCCGUUGAGACGACUCCAUAUGAACCGUGGUUUAGCAAGAAAUCUAAGCUGUCGUUUCUUAAAGUUUGGGGCUGCGAUGCUUAUGUGCAAAAGCUUCAACUUGAUAAGCUCAAACCCAAAUCGGAGAAAUGCGUCUUCAUAGGAUACCCAAAGGAAACUGUUGGGUACACCUUCUAUCAUAGAUCCGGAGGCAAGAUAUUCGUUGCUAAAAAUGGAUCCUUUCUAGAGAAGGAGUUUCUCUCAAAACAAGUGAGUGGGAGGAAAGUAGAACUUGAUGAGGUAAUUGUACCUUCUCCCAAAUUGGAAAGUAGUUCAUCACAGAAAUCAGUUCCGGUGAUGUUUACACCAAUUAGUGAGGAAGUUAAUGAUGAUGAUCAUGAAACUUCAGAUCAAGUUCUACCAAACCUCAUAGGUCAAGCAGAACUAGACCAUGACGAACCUACGAACUAUGAGGAAGUGAUGAUGAGCCCAGAUUCCGCAAAAUGCCUUGAGGCCAUGAAAUCUGAGAUGGGAUCCAUGUAUGAGAACAAAGUGUGGACGUUGGUUGACUUGCCCGAUGAUCGGCAAGCCAUAGAGAAUAAAUGGAUCUUCAAGAAGAAGACUGACGCUGACGGUAAUGUUACUGUCUACAAAGCUCGACUUGUUAUAGACUUUUGGAGAAGCCUAUAUUUACAAGAAAGUGAGUGGGAGCUCUGUAGCAUUUCUGAUAUUAUAUGUGGAUGA
rnacentral:rRNA from 1 species